rnacentral:misc_RNA from 1 species
CAAAGAAGUUCUCGGGUGCUUUAUGCCCCGAAACCUCCACCCUAUGUGUAUCGACCGCCUUGUAUGUUGCCUCGGCGGGUUGUUGGUUUCCCCCAACUUUGGGGGUGGCUACACCCGCCGGCAGACAGCUUAUAAAACCUUGAUAUAAACCUUAUAGUCAGAGCUUUAUUAGCAAAAUUAAUAAAUCA